rnacentral:rRNA from 1 species
UACGAAGGGGCUAGCGUUGCUCGGAAUUACUGGGCGUAAAGGCGCACGUAGGCGGAUUCUUAAGUCGGUGGUGAAAUCCUGGAGCUCAACUCCAGAACUGCCUUUCGAAUACUGGGAAUCUUGAGUUCGGGAGAGGUGAGUGGAACUGCGAGUGUAGAGGUGAAAUUCGUAGAUAUUCGCGAAGAACACCAGUGGCGAAGGCGGCUCACUGGCCCGAUACUGACGCUGAGGCACGAAAGCGAUGGGGAGGCAAACAGGAU